rnacentral:lncRNA from 10 species
CACGGAUGCAGCUUCCUCUGAGCUGGCUUUGAGGCUUCCUGGCCCUGCCCUGCAGGAGCAGUCACGGAGCUGCGACACCACCAGAGCUGGGACACCACCAGAGCUGCGAGACCACCAGAGCUGUGACACCACCAGAGCCGGGACACCACCAGAGCCGGGACACCACCAGAGCCGGGACACCACCAGAGCUCCGAGACCACCAGAGCUGCCACACCACCAGAGCUGUGACACCACCAGAGCCGUGACACCACCAGAGCCGGGACACCACCAGAGCCGGGACACCACCAGAGCCGCGAGACCACCAGAGCCGUGACACCACCAGAGCCGGGACACCACCAGAGCUGGGACACCACCAGAGCUGCGAGACCACCAGAGCUGGGACACCACCAGAGCUGCCACACCACCAGAGCUGCGACAGCACCAGAGCCGGGACACCAGCAGAGCCGGGACACCACCAGAGCCGCAACACCACCAGAGCUGCGACACCAGCAGAGCCGCGACACCAGCAGAGCCGGGACACCACCAGAGCCGUGACACCAGCAGAGCCGGGACACCACCAGAGCUGCGAGACCACCAGGGCCGGGACACCACCAGGGCCGGGACACCACCAGAGCUGCGAGACCACCAGGGCCGGGACACCACCAGAGCCGGGACACCACCAGAGCUGCGAGACCACCAGGGCCGUGACACCACCAGAGCCGGGACACCACCAGAGCUGGGACACCACCAGAGCUGCGAGACCACCAGAGCUGGGACACCACCAGAGCUGCCACACCACCAGAGCUGCGACACCAGCAGAGCCGCGACACCAGCAGAGCCGGGACACCAGCAGAGCCGGGACACCACCAGAGCCGUGACACCAGCAGAGCCGGGACACCACCAGGGCCGGGACACCAGCAGAGCCGGGACACCACCAGAGCCGUGACACCAGCAGAGCCGGGACACCACCAGGGCCGGGACACCACCAGAGCUGCGAGACCACCAGGGCCGGGACACCACCAGAGCCGGGACACCACCAGAGCUGGGACACCACCAGAGCUGCGAGACCACCAGAGCCGUGACACCACCAGAGCCGUGACACCAGCAGAGCUGGGACACCACCAGAGCUGUGAGACCACCAGAGCCGGGACACCACCAGAGCCGGGACACCACCAGAGCUGCGAGACCACCAGAGCCGUGACACCAGCAGAGCCGGGACACCACCAGAGCCGGGACACCACCAGAGCCGGGACACCACCAGAGCUCCGAGACCACCAGAGCUGCCACACCACCAGAGCUGUGACACCACCAGAGCUGUGACACCACCAGAGCCGGGACACCACCAGAGCCGGGACACCACCAGAGCUGCGAGACCACCAGAGCUGGGACACCACCAGAGCUGGGACACCACCAGAGCCGGGACACCACCAGAGCUCCGAGACCACCAGAGCUGCCACACCACCAGAGCUGUGACACCACCAGAGCCGGGACACCACCAGAGCCGGGACACCACCAGAGCCGGGACACCACCAGAGCUGUGACACUGUGGCUUCAGUAAAGCUGUUUCUUCUACCACUGGCUUGCCCUUGCAUUCUUUCCUGGGUGAAGCCAAAAACCCAGAGGGCUAAACUCCACUUUCGGGCUCGCCUGCCUGCAUCAUAACCAUCAGGCCUGGAGAGCCGGGUCUCUUGAGAGUAAACUGCCGUGAGAUUCUACAGGAACUCUGCCUCUCCUCUGGGCUGAGCUGUUCUGCCUCAGUUUCCUCACUAACAAAAUGGGGUGACAUCUUGAGGUGGCCCCUCUCGGUGCUGCCAGCCUCUCUGCUCCCCACUCUUUUUGGGCAGCCCUCAAGGCCCUCGUACAGCAUCUGG